GGACUACUGGGGUAUCUAAUCCCGUUUGCUCCCCUGGCUUUCGCGCCUCAGCGUCAGAAAAGGUCCAGCAGCUCGCUUUCGCCACCGGCGUUCCUUCCGAUAUCAACGCAUUUCACCGCUCCACCGGAAGUUCCAGCUGCCCCUACCUCGCUCGAGACCCACAGUAUCCGAGGCUAUUUUCCGGUUAAGCCGAAAGAUUUCACCCCGGACUUGAGGGCCCGCCUACGCGCCCUUUAAGCCCAGUGAUUCCGAACAACGUUCGCACGGUUCGUCUUACCGCGGCUGCUGGCAC
rnacentral:rRNA from 1 species